rnacentral:rRNA from 1 species
CCUACGGGAUGCUGCAGUGGGGGAUAUUGCACAAUGGGGGAAACCCUGAUGCCGCGACGCCGCGUGAGUGAAGAAGUAUUUCGGUAUGUAAAGCUCUAUCAGCAGGGAAGAAAAUGACAGUACCUGACCAAGAAGCCCCGGCUAAAUACGUGCAAGCAGCCGCGGUAAUACGUAGGGGGCAAGCGUUAUCCGGAUUUUAUGGGUUUAAAGGGUGCGCAGGCGGAGGUGCAAGUCAGCGGUAAAAUUGCGGGGCUCAACCCCGUCGAGCCGUUGAAACUGGCAGGCUGGAGUUGGCGAGAAGUACGCGGAAUGCGCGGUGUAGCGGUGAAAUGCAUAGAUAUCGCGCAGAACUCCGAUUGCGAAGGCAGCGUACCGGCGCCAGACUGACGCUGAGGCACGAAAGCGUGGGGAUCGAACAGGAUUAGAUACCCGGGUAGUC